UAAGGAAUAUUGCGCAAUGGGCGCAAGCCUGAUCCAGCCAUGCCGCGUGAGUGAUGAAGGCCUUAGGGUUGUAAUGCUCUUUUGGCGGGGACGAUAAUGACGGUACCCGCAGAAUAAGCCCCGGCUAACUUCGUGCCAGCAGCCGCGGUAAUACGAAGGGGGCUAGCGUUGUUCGGAAUUACUGGGCGUAAAGCGCACGUAGGCGGAUCGGCAAGUCAGUGGUGAAAUCUCUCGGCUUAACCGAGAAACUGCCAUUGAUACUGUUAGUCUAGAGUACAGAUGAUGUGGGCGGAAUAUGACAUGUAGUGGUGAAAUACUUAGAUAUGUCAUAGAACACCGAUUGCGAAGGCAGCUCACAAAACUGUAACUGACGCUGAGGCACGAAAGUGCGGGGAUCAAACAGGAUUAGAUACCCCAGUAGUCCCUGAGCGGGCUGGCAAGGCGCAU
rnacentral:rRNA from 1 species